CCCUGGCAUAGUGGUUUGAGUGUUGGACUUUGACUAUGAAGAUCAGGGUUCAAAACCCUGCUCAGGUA